GCCGUACACCUGGCGGCUGGAACGGUGAGGGCGUGUGGCUGAAGCCUGUUCCUGCUUGGGGGUUGGCCACACAGCAUCCCAACUCCAGGUCCAGAGCCGAGCCUGACAGCCCUCCUCCACUGCCUCCUGGAGCUGCCGGAGAGAGGUCCGGGUCCGUUCUCCCCAAUUCACAGACAUGAAGACUGAGGCCGUGGUUCCAGUGGCUGCUCGGUGGUGGGGCUGGAGCUUGGCAGCAUCCUGCAGCCCUCUGGACUCCCGGCUCUCGAGUGCCGCGUUCUACCUGCUGUGUUCUAAAUGGACAUGCCAUCCCCACAGCUGUGUCAAUAAAGCAGCCAUUUACAGAGCGGGCGCCGGAUCCCGUGACAGGUUGAAAAGUGUGUGAGCUGCAGCGUCCUGGGCUGGGGCAGAGGGGCCGUGGCGAGAACAGAUGGGGCUGUGCCCAUCUCCCCAGGCC
rnacentral:lncRNA from 1 species